rnacentral:lncRNA from 1 species
AGGAAACAUGGGUAGGAGAUUUUCCAAGUUGAGGAGAAUGGUGAGGCAACAAAGAGGGAAGUUUUACAUUAUGAGGGUGUGUAUCUCUAUGCUUCUAAAUUGGGAUAAGCACUCUUAGCCCACAAACACAUUUUUUGUGUUUCCACCAGCUUUGAGGUGUCAUCAUCUAGCUCAAUGGCUUUGACCGUUAUACAUUAGCAUUUAAUGAAAUUGUGUGGUUAACAUUCUAUGGAGUGUAAUUUGGGGCUGAAAUUUUUUGGAGCAAUGUAUAAACUCCCAACACCAACUUUGUUUUGUUUUUUUAAUGUCUGUUGCUAAUUACUUUAGAAAGUAUGUACAUACUGUCGAAAGCACC